rnacentral:rRNA from 1 species
GGACAACCUGCCCAAAGGUCCGGGAUAACCCCGGGAAACUGGGGAUAAUACCGGAUAAAUCACAAAUACUGGAAUGGUUUUGUGGUUGAAACUUCCGGGGCCUUUGGAUGGGUCUGCGGCUGAUUAGGUUGUUGCCGGUGUAACGUACCGUCAAGCCUGUAAUCAGUACGGGUUGUGGGAGCAAGAGCCCGGAGAUGGAUUCUGAGACACGAAUCCAGGCCCUACGGGGCGCAGCAGGCGCGAAAACUCUACAAUGCAGGCAACUGCGAUAGGGGAACAUCGAGUGAUACUCAUUUUGGGUGUCUGUCCUCCCGUCUAAAAAACGGGAGUUAGCAAGGGCCGGGCAAGACCGGUGCCAGCCGCCGCGGUAAUACCGGCGGCUCGAGUGGUGGCCGAUAUUAUUGAGUCUAAAGGGUCCGUAGCCGGCUUUGCAAGUCUUUUGGGAAAUCCAGCGGCUUAACCGUUGGUCGUCCGGGAGAUACUACAUUGCUUGGGACUGGGAGAGGUAGGAGGUACUCAGGGGGUAGGAGUGAAAUCCUGUAAUCCUUUGGGGACCACCGGUGGCGAAGGCGUCCUACCAGAACAGGUCCGACGGUGAGGGACAAAAGCUAGGGGCACGAACCGGAUUAGAUACCCGGGUAGUCCUAGCCGUAAACGAUGCUCGCUAGGUGUCACAACAAUCGUGAAUUGUUGUGGUGCCGUAGGGAAGCCGUGAAGCGAGCCACUUGGGAAGUACGACCGCAAGGUUGAAACUUAA